UUUUUUUUUUAUCAACCCCCAUUUUGAAACUCACAAGAAGGCACGCGCUUUUCAUUUCAUCUUCUUCGUUUGGCGUCUGCAUUCACCAGCUACAAAUCUAAUUGUGUGAAAACCAAGAUAAUAUUCUACUUUGUCGGGCGUUUACCAGCAAUAACUGCUACAUAUACAUAAAUUUACAUCAGCAAGACCAGGCAUAAUUAAAAAUUCCAAGAAAAUUACAAAAAUCGGCUUAACAUUUGGAAAACUACAAAUUUAAACAAUCAUCGGCUAGACAUCUGAAAACCAGCUUCUACAAUCAUCAGCCAAACCAAACUAAUUUAUAUUUUAAGCAGAUAAAAACUGUAAGUAACACCUUUUUGAUAGAUACGAAAAUAAACUUUAUAUUACUAGAUCUAGCCAAAAUUUAAUUUUAUGAAAAUAAUCCUUUUAUUCGAAAUUCUUUCUGGUAUCGUUUUAAAGUAAAAUUUAAAGUGAUAGAUCUGUAUAGCUUAUUUUAAUUUUAAAAGAUACAGGUAAUCAAACUAACAUUAAUUCUUCUACCUAAAAGAUUCCAAAAUAUUUAAAUCAUUUGAAAAAAAAAC